UACAGAGGUCCCGAGCGUUGUUCGGAUUCAUUGGGCGUAAAGGGUGCGUAGGCGGUUUGCUAAGUUGGAUGUGAAAACUCUGGGCUUAACCCAGAGCCCUGCAAUCGAACAGCAAUUGAGUACUGGAGGGGAAAGCGGAAUUCCUGGUGUAGCGGUGAAAUGCGUAGAUAUCUGGAGGAAUACCGGUGGCGAAGGCGGCAUCCUGGACCGGCAUUGACGCUGAUGAGCGAAAGCUAGGGGAGCAAACGGG
rnacentral:rRNA from 1 species